rnacentral:lncRNA from 12 species
GGGGGGGGGGGGGGGGGGGGGGGGGGGGGGGGGGGGGGGGGGGGGGGGGGGGGGGGGGGGGGGGGGGGGGGGGGGGGGGGGGGGGGGGGGGGGGCGAGACGGGCCGAGCCGAGCCGGGCCGGGCCGGGCCGAGCCGAGCCGAGCCGAGCCGAGCCGAUCUCGCGCGGGGAGCGCGGGCUCAUGAGAGGCCGGGAUACCACGCCUCCCCAUUGGCUGCACCGCCCGCGGGACUGGCCAAUCAGCGCCGAGGGCGCUGCCGGGGCGGCGCCGCUCCGCCACCGGUGCCGCGUCUCGUCCUGGUCCUGUCCUGGUCCUGUCCUGGUCCUGUCCUGGUCCUGCCCCUUCCCUGUCCCGUCAUGGUCCUGUCCUGGUCCUGUCCCGGUCCUGUCCCUUCCUGUCCCGUCCCUGUCCUGGUCCUGUUUCUUCCCUGUCCCGUCCUGGUCCUGUCCUAGUCCUGUCCCUUCCGUGUCCUGGUCCUGUCCCUUACGUGUCCUUGUCCUGUCCUGUCCUGUCCUGGUCCUGUCACUUUCCUGUCCUGUCCUGAUCCUGUUCCUUCCCCGUCCUGGUCUUGUCCUGGUCCUGUCCUUCUCCCGUCUCUGUCCCAUGCCUCCAGCUGUCCCGUCCCUCCUCUGUCCGGUCCCAUCCUUGUACUGUCCCGUCUAUGUCCCGUCUAAUCCUGGUCCCAUCCUGUUCCCAUUCUGAUCCUGUCCCGUCGCUGUCCCGACCCAUCCCUGUCUCGUCCCGUCUUGGUCCCAUCCCACUGCUCGCUGUCCCAUCCUUGUCUCGUCACGUCUCGUCUCUCUCCGGUCCUGUCACUGUCCCGCCCGUCCUUCCCUGCAUUCCAUCCCUCGCGGCUUCCCGGGCCCCGGCGGUGCGAGCGCGCACUCUGGGAUGCGGGGCGGGUGCGGCUGUCCUGAUACCGGGCUCGGGAUGCUUUUCCCGGCUGCACCUGCCGGGGGAAGCGCGGAUGUCGCUGUCCCUUGCACCCCACGAGCACGGAUGGGCCCCGCGGGAGCUCCAUCCCUCCCUGCUUCCCUCCUGUUCGCGGAGACAUCCACGUUACACCAUUGGAAAUGCCAGCUCC